GAGGGGGGAUGCAAGCGUUAUCCGGAAUCACUGGGCGUAAAGCGUCUGUAGGUGGUGAUGCAAGUCACUGGUGCAAAACUCUGGCUCAACCGGAGGAAAGCCAAUGAAACUGCAUGACUAGAGUGUGGGAGAGGUAGAAGGAAUUCCCUGAGUAGCGGUGAAAUGCGUAGAUACAGGGAAGAACACCGGAGGCGAAAGCGUUCUACUGGAACACAACAGACACUGAGAGACGAAAGCUAGGGGAGCGAAUGAG
rnacentral:rRNA from 1 species